UAUGUGCCAUUUUAAGCAAAAAUGUAAACAAUGAUUGGCAAAAAUACAAAUAAAAAGAUACAACUACAACAAAACAAAACUGAAACAAAAAUGAGUGAAAUACCAAGAGUCAACGCCAUCGUGGAUGAGAACAGAACGCAAACUGGGUGUUUGUGGUGGACCAAAGACACGUUAUUCAAAUUUUUUGUAGAUUUUAAGUAUUUAAUGUUUUAAUUGAUGUAUAAAAUGUUAAAUGUGAAAUAUUAUACAUGAAUAAUUUGCAGGUCGGAUUUGCUUCGUUGGCUUUUAUUAAUCAGCAGAUGUAUUACUGCGAUCUGGCUGCUCUGGGAUUCACCUUCACAAAUGGGGUCACUGCAGUCCUUAAACACGGAUUCAAAAAUUCGACAAACUUUCGUGCCUGAUUACUCUGUACGUGCUACAUCUGAUGUUAUUUAUAUAGCAAUUAAACCUAGUUUGUACCUGACUGCUAAGAAAGCUACAUGGUUGAGAAGAGCCGUUAAUCUGGGACAUUCUCAAAUGAGACAUUUGGCGAGGAAGUGGAACGUUGACUCCAUUCAAUAACCGAAGAUGAAAAACCACGAUUCCUAACAGCAAGUCAAAGUGCAAGACGCCUUUCUAAGCCGAAUCGAAGUAUAACAUCGUCGCCGACUAACAAUAGUAUAUCGUUUGCAGAAAAAAACACUGGCAGUCAAAUUAAUGGCGAACAAAAAAUUGUUAAUACAGAGCACACAGAAAAUGCCUCUAUAAGUAGUUUGUUUACUUCUAAAGUUGGAGGUGAUUUUCAAAGUGAAGAGCACGAUGACAAGAACAACCCAGCAUCUGUGCCGCUUCUAUCCCAACCAAAUCAUAAAAUAGAGACCCGGCAAAAUUAGCAUCAAUAACGAUACCGUACUAAUGUUAAGAAAUUCUUGCAGAAACUUAAAUUCUUCGUUUCUAUUGCAUCACUAUAUUGCCAUGUUUAAACCAGCUUAUAUUCUUGUUAUUUAAAUACUAUUCGUUUGAUUUGUGUUAUACGCAUUUUUAAUAGUAUACAUGCUGACAUUAUAAAUACAUUACCCCAUGAAAUGCGUACCUAAGACGAAAAUGUAGCAGCGCUUCAAAUAUAUUUCUCUAACACACUAAAUCAGUUUUACGAGUAAAAUUUU